UCUUUGUGUUUAGUCACAGAGUUGUUGACAUUAGACUUAUCUUUAAUCUCUUUGGUGUUAAAUUCGCCUCUAGUGGUGUUCAUUCGAAUUUCUUACUCUCUGGGAUUUUACCAAAUCCUAAGCUAGAAGCCUCUGUUCUCUCAGUCUGUCUGUUAACUCAGUCCUCCUUGUAUCAAAUACCAGAGAGUCUUGGCGCAGCAGCAAGUACUAGAGUUGCAAACGAGUUAGGGGCAGGAAAACCGAAGCAAGCUUGAAUGGCGGUUUAUACAGUAAUGGUCAUUACAGGUGUAGAAUCAAUAAUGGUGGGUGUAAUAUAGUAUUUGGUGCAAGAAACGUAUUAUGUAAGUGUAAUUUACAUAAACCCUAAGAUCUUUGAAGCAACAUGAUUAAUCACAUAAUCAUAUACAUAAAAACGAAUCAAUCCUCUUUCUUCUUCUUUGUGGAUCGGUGUGGUUUUUCUCUACUCUACGCUAAGACUACGGUGGCUUGCGUCUCUCUAUCUCGACCACCAGUAUACGUUUGCUGUCAAUCACAUCUAUCAUCAGGUCGUGCUUCUCCUUGUUUUACCUUACCGGAUCAAAGAUCCUCCCCUAUUCUUGUAAAAAAUAGUUACGAAGUAAAAAUACUGAAUUAAUUAGAGUAAUGAUAAUGGGACUCGAAAGCUAUACUGGUCAUAACAAGUCAAGCUCACUCAGGACUCUAACUGCCCCAAGAAUUUAUACAUCCUCAUCCUCAUGCGUAAUCUUCAAUACCAAAAAUCCCAUGAAGAACGUGAGAAAAGAAACUCACUUUUGGAGAUCUUUUGACAUAUGCCGAGCACCAGACUUCUUGAGUCGUUCAUAGAUAUACGGCGGGUCUUAGAACGUUUUGAAUCCUUCUGUGAUGAUGUCUUUUUAGAACCAGAGGCUGAAGGACGCGACUGUACAAAUUUGUCAAGGAGGAUAUAGUUGUCCAGCUUCACACUUUUAGAACCUUGCAAGUACUUUUGAGCAGAGUCACCGCUUCAAAGGAGGUUAUGCAGAACCUUGUCUACUAUAGUUCCCUUUGCACUAGAAAACUGAAUUUACAUACAAAAGAAACACUCUAAGCAACCUUAUCUCAAAUCGUAAGGAAGAAGAAAGUGGGUUUGAUCACCUCACGAAUCUGACUUUACCUUAACAUUGGUUGCCAUCAAAUUCUCAUCAACGGGAUAUGACAAUUUUGUAUAUGCAACAUAAUCAUCCUCCUUCGGAUCUACAAAAUAAAAAUAAAAAUUUCCAUCACAA